GCUAUUUGGUGGUGUUUUUGCUGUAUGUUCAUCCAUUAAAACAUAAAACCCUUAAAAUCUGAUUUUCAGUUGAAUUACAGUAGAAAAAAAAAAGGAACCGCUAACAUGCAAUAUGCGAUUAAUAGUUACCUGAAAUAGAGGAAGUAAAUCAUUAUCACAGAUCGUGCUAGAAUCGUGCAAAAAGAACAAAAUUUGAAGUGGAUG
rnacentral:lncRNA from 1 species